rnacentral:rRNA from 1 species
AUAUUGGAAGCUUGCUUCCGAUAGGCGUCGACCGGCGCACGGGUGAGUAACGCGUAUCCAACCUGCCCAUCACUUGGGAAUAACCUUGCGAAAGUAAGACUAAUGCCCAAUGACAUUUAUAGAAGGCAUCCGAAGUGAAUUAAAGAUUUAUCGGUGAUGGAUGGGGAUGCGUCUGAUUAGCUUGUUGGCGGGGUAACGGCCCACCAAGCCGACGAUCGGUAGCCGACCUGAGAGGGUGAUCGGCCACAUUGGGACUGAGACACGGCCCAAACUCC